rnacentral:rRNA from 1 species
ACUGGGACUGAGACACGGCCCAGACUCCUACGGGAGGCAGCAGUGGGGAAUCUUAGACAAUGGGGGCAACCCUGAUCUAGCCAUGCCGCGUGAGUGAUGAAGGCCUUAGGGUUGUAAAGCUCUUUCAGCUGGGAAGAUAAUGACGGUACCAGCAGAAGAAGCCCCGGCUAACUCCGUGCCAGCAGCCGCGGUAAUACGGAGGGGUCGUAGACGUGUUCGGACGUUAACUUGGGUCGGUAAGACGCGACGUCGCGGACGUCGGUAACGUUUAGGGUCAAGUCCGGUGUAGAAACCCGUCCGGAACGUCGACCUUACCGGAAACGGUAGGUCUAGGUUACGUAAGGUAGGUUACGGAGUAGGAGGUUGACGUAGGAAAGUUACCGGUAGGUACUUACGAAGGUUGGUAACGGUUGGAGGACGUAAGUCCGAAGAACGACGGGUAAGUGGCGAGCGCUACAUGGCUGAUCUGACGCUGAGGUGCGAAAGCGUGGGGANCGAAAACGNGGUAUUAGGACUACCGUGGUAACGUCCACGGACCCGUAAAAGNUAGAAGUCGACCGAGACCGGUUCGGCAAGCUAGUCGUCUUGGUUACGGUCUAACACCGUAACCGUUAAAGGACUUAACGCUUACCCGG